GACGAACGCUGGCGGCGUGCUUAACACAUGCAAGUCGAACGGAAAGGCCCUGCUUGCAGGGUGCUCGAGUGGCGAACGGGUGAGUAACACGUGGGUGAUCUGCCCCUUACUUUGGGAUAAGCCUGGGAAACUGGGCCUAAUACUGGAUAGGACCAUGCUGUAGGUGGUGUGGUGGAAAGAUUAGUUUCGGUAAGGGAUGAGCUCGCGGCCUAUCAGCUUGUUGGUGGGGUAAUGGCCUACCAAGGCGUCGACGGGUAGCCGGCCUGAGAGGGUGGACGGCCACAUUGGGACUGAGAUGCGGCCCAGACUCCUACAGGAGGCAGCAGUGGGGAAUAUUGCACAAGAGGCGCAAGCCUGAUGCAGCGACGCCGCGUGGAGGAUGACGGCCUUCGGGUUGUAAACACCUUUCAGCCAUGACGAAGCCCUUGUGGUGACGGUAGUGGUAGAAGAAGCACCGGCUAACUACGUG
rnacentral:rRNA from 1 species